UUCCGGUUGAUCCUGCCGGAGGUUACUGCUAUCGGGGUUCGAUUAAGCCAUGCAAGUUAAAUGUUUUUCGUAAACAUAGCGAACUGCUCAGUAACACGUGGAUAACUUAACCUUAGGUCCGGCAUAACCCCGGGAAACUGGGGAUAAUUCCGGAUGUAUCAAGGAUGCUGGAAUGCCCUUUGGUUCAAAGCUUUUGUGCCUAAGGAUAGGUCUGCGGUCUAUCAGGUUGUAGUGGGUGUAACGUACCUACUAGCCGACGACGGAUACGGGUUGUGAGAGCAAGAGCCCGGAGAUGGAUUCUGAGACAAGAAUCCAGGCCCUACGGGGUGCAGCAGGCGCGAACACUUUACAAUGCGGGAAACCGCGAUAAGGGAACCCCGAGUGCCAGUACUAAGUGCUGGCUGUCUAGAUGAAUAGAUAUCAUUUAAUAGCAAGGGCCGGGCAAGACCGGUGCCAGCCGCCGCGGUAACACCGGCGGCCCGAGUGGUAACCGAUAUUAUUGGGUCUAAAGGGUCCGUAGCCUGUUUAAUAAGUCCUUUGGGAAAUCUGGCAGCUUAACUGUCAGGCUGCUAAAGGAUACUGUUAAACUUGGGACCGGUAGACGUAGGGGGUACUCCAGGGGUAGGAGUGAAAUCUUGUAAUCCCUGGGGGACCAUCUGUGGCGAAGGCGCCCUACGAGAACGGGUCCGACGGUGAGGGACGAAAGCUAGGGGAGCAAACCGGAUUAGAUACCCGGGUAGUCCUAGCUGUAAACGAUGCUCGCUAGGUGUCAGGCACGGUGCGUCCGUGUCUGGUGCCGCAGGGAAGCCGUUAAGCGAGCCACCUGGGGAGUACGGUCGCAAGGCUGAAACUUAAAGGAAUUGGCGGGGGAGCACUACAACGGGUGGAGCCUGCGGUUUAAUUGGAUUCAACGCCGGG
rnacentral:rRNA from 1 species